AGCGAACGCUGGCGGCAGGCCUAACACAUGCAAGUCGAACGAAGUCUUCGGACUUAGUGGCGGACGGGUGAGUAACACGUGGGAACGUGCCUUUAGGUUCGGAAUAACUCAGGGAAGCUUGUGCUAAUACCGAAUGUGCCCUUCGGGGGAAAGAUUUAUCGCCUUUAGAGCGGCCCGCGUCUGAUUAGCUAGUUGGUGAGGUAAAGGCUCACCAAGGCUACGAUCAGUAGCUGGUCUGAGAGGAUGACCAGCCACAUUGGGACUGAGACACGGCCCAAACUCCUACGGGAGGCAGCAGUGGGGAAUCUUGCGCAAUGGGCGAAAGCUUGACGCAGCCAUGCCGCGUGGAUGAUGAAGGUCUUAGGAUUGUAAAAUCCUUUCACCGGUGAAGAUAAUGACUGUAGCCGGAGAAGAAGCCCCGGCUAACUUCGUGCCAGCCGCCGCGGUAAGAC
rnacentral:rRNA from 1 species